CUUACACAUGCAAGUCGAGGGGUAACGAUGUAGCUUGCUACAGGCGACGACCGGCGCACGGGUGCGUAACGCGUAUGCAACUUUCCUUAUACAGGAGGAUAGCCCAGGGAAACUUGGAUUAAUACUCCAUAAUGUCACCAGGUCGCAUGGCCAGGUGAUUAAAACUCCGGUGGUAUAAGAUGGGCAUGCGUAGGAUUAGCUAGUAGGUAGUGUAACGGACUACCCAGGCAACGAUCCUUAGGGGUUCUGAGAGGAUUAUCCCCCACACUGGUACUGAGACACGGACCAGACUCCUACGGGAGGCAGCAGUGAGGAAUAUUGGUCAAUGGGCGCGAGCCUGAACCAGCCAUCCCGCGUGCAGGAUGACGGCCCUAUGGGUUGUAAACUGCUUUUCUACGCCAAGAAAGGCCCGUACGAGUACGGGAUUGACGGUAGCGUAGGAAUAAGCAUCGGCUAACUCCGUGCCAGCAGCCGCGGUAAUACGGAGGAUGCAAGCGUUAUCCGGAUUCAUUGGGUUUAAAGGGUGCGCAGGCGGGCUUGUAAGUCAGUGGUGAAAUACUGCCGCUUAACGGUAGAAUUGCCAUUGAUACUGCGAGUCUUGAGUAUGGUUGAGGUAGGCGGAAUGUGCAGUGUAGCGGUGACAUGCAUAGAGAUUGCACAGAACGCCGAUUGCGGAGGCAGCUUACUAAGCCAUAACUGACGCUGAGGCACGAA
rnacentral:rRNA from 1 species